UACCAAAAAUGUUUUCUUUUUUUAAGUUUAAUUUUUCAUUUUUUUAAANGUGAUAAGCAGUGUCAGAAGGAGUUUUAUAAAUAUGAGCAAAAGAAAGAGAAAGAAUGAACCCUGACCAGAAGCAUUUCCCUCACCCAAGCACAUUGCAAAUUAUAUCAUCCCUGUUACUGUACUUUCAAGAUUUUGGAGAGUGAAAGAAUCUACACCUCAACACUUCUGGGUAGGACCAUAGAAAUAUACCCAUUGCACUUUCAGUGGCAGGAGAAUAUCAUGGAUGUGUCAGAUGUGAAAAUAGCAAAGGAUAAAGAGCAAAGGAGGUCAUAAAAAGCAAAAGUGUGGUUAAAAGAGUCUGGCUAAGCUGGGAAACCCAACAGGUUGCUCAUAUGGCAGCUGCUGUCUCCUGUGACAGAUAAAGAACAAAACAGCAAGACAGCAUAUUGGGGCUGUGUGAUACUCCCUAACUGUCACACACACACAGACACAAUUGCACAGGUAAUGUGGUUUGGUUUUGCUCAGUUUUUUUUGUUUUUUUUUAAAGA
rnacentral:lncRNA from 1 species